GCGUUUCUGCAGCUGGAACCAUCGAAUCCCUUCGGGCUGGUGCGAAAGAGUGCUGACGGAUCUACUGCACACCGUUGCUCUGUUUAAUUAAUUAGUUGCUCUGUAGACACUUUUAUAAAUGACUCAUACUGCUUAAAAUUUUACCCAUUCGUGCUGGUAUUGAACGGAGACUGAUUGCGUUUAAGUGCUUUUCCUGAGACUUAAGCUCCGGUAAUCGUUAAGUACUGGGCCCGGGAGGUGUUGACUUGACGCCUGUUGCUGAUGAGUCAGAUUCGUUGUUACUUAUAGACUCUUUGAGGAGUUUUAUUUUUAUGCAGUUACACUACCGGAGCUAACAGUGAAGCUGCUAUGAACUGUUAGCUGAGACGUUGGUCUGAGUCAGCAAAGAAACCUGAUGGCAUUAACGUCGACUGGAAACUGACCCGCUUCUGAAGAUUUCCAAAGGCUGCGCUGAAGUAGACUGCAAGCACAAUGCACUGGUUUGCGCCUCACACGGCUCCCAGCCACAAAGGCACAGCGUUGCUUCCUGCUUUCGCGUGGACUGCUUUUUACAUUACCGUUUUCCAGCUGAGUAAACUGCGGUCUGUUGCUAUUACAGACAUUUUUUCCGAAACACAUUCACGUUGGGCAGCAUGGUGGCUCUAUGGGUUGCACUGCUAUUCGCAGAUGUUCUGAGGAUGCGCUCCAGGUACCUAUACUUCCGCGGUUACUCUCACAGUCCAAAAGCGUGCAGUUAAGUCAAUUAAUACAGUACGUCUGAAUUACCGUACUAGUUUUUGAUAGUGCCUACCAUGUGAUGACGUGGUAUCCCACCCAGGAUGUGUCAUGUGCCUCCUUAUGAUGGGCUUGACGGCAAAAUGUACUGGAUAAGCAGUUAUGGAGGACGCACAUAAUAGCUGUAUUCAUGUGUAUAUUUUAUGCAAAUAAAUUUAUAACUAAAUAAACAUAUAAUUAUUA